UCAAGGCCAUGUGCUAAUAUCAACGGUGCGGCAGUGCCAGUGAAAGUCAGGCAGUAUGCCGGAGCAACAGAGUCUUGAUUUUUAGAGGCAGGUUUUAAAGAAAGAAAUCAGUGUUGUAAAGAAAGAAAAAGAUUUUCCACUCAAAGAAUUAUGGAUGACACAGAGGGUUCAGGAACCAUAAAUUUGAUGUUGGGAGUCUUAACUUCACCCUGAU